AGGACGCCAGUGCACAACCUCAUCUUCCACCACCACCACUCUUCCUACACCGCCGCUGAUGCUACUACGAGAUGCUACUACGAAAGACUAGGCAAUCUCCUGCCUUCGCCGACCCGUCAGAUGUACCUUUUGUUGGCUCUCUAAAACCCUAGGGUUUCCUCCUCUCAGAUGAGUGCAGCUCGAAGUUGAAAAUUUAUCCAAUCGUGCAGAAGGUCUAUCUAGAGAGAAUUCUGAGAAAACCUGGAAUUGACUUGUUAGAUUCGACAGAUGAAGGCUAAUCACUUUGUAGUUCAUUGCUCCCUUUCUUUUGAGUCUCAAACAUAAUUCACUCAUUCUUCUGGCCUCAAAAUUAUCAAUUGAGGACUGUAUGGCAUGCCAUGACCUUUUUGAGGCCCUUCUGAUUGACCAUCCUCAGAGUUUAUACUAUUCGUACUUUGUCAUCCAAGUUGGGCUGUCCGGAGAGCAGCUUAUAAUUCUGUGAAAAAGAUUAUAGGUGCUAUCCCACAGUGACUGAAGCCAUAAUGCUUGAAUUUUCAAAUUAUCUCUCCGCUGUUGGUGAAAAGAACUUUU